rnacentral:rRNA from 1 species
AGAGCGAACGCUGGCGGCAGGCCUAAUACAUGCAAGUCGAACGGAUCCUUCGGGAUUAGUGGCGGACGGGUGAGUAACACGUGGGAACGUGCCCUUUGGUUCGGAACAACUCAGGGAAACUUGAGCUAAUACCGGAUGUGCCCUUCGGGGGAAAGAUUUAUCGCCAUUGGAGCGGCCCGCGUCUGAUUAGCUAGUUGGUGAGGUAAAGGCUCACCAAGGCUUCGAUCAGUAGCUGGUCUGAGAGGAUGAUCAGCCACACUGGGACUGAGACACGGCCCAGACUCCUACGGGAGGCAGCAGUAGGGAAUCUUGCGCAAUGGGCGAAAGCCUGACGCAGCCAUGCCGCGUGAAUGAUGAAGGUCUUAGGAUUGUAAAAUUCUUUCAGCGGGGACGAUAAUGACGGUACCCGCAGAAGAGCCCCGGCUAACUUCGUGCCAGCAGCCGC